GCCCGCCUAGCUCAAUCGGAUAGAGCGUGAGACUUUUACGGCCAUGGGGCUGCCAUCUCAAGGCUGCGGGUUCGACCCCCGCGGUGGGCU
rnacentral:tRNA from 1 species